GUGGGCGCAGGAAAUUUGAGAAGAGCUGUCCUCAGUACGAGAGGACCGGGAUGGACGCAUCAAUGGUGGACCAGUUGUCACGCCAGUGGCAUAGCUGGGUAGCUAAAUGCGGAAGGGAUAAACGCUGAAGGCAUCUAAGUGUGAAACCCACUUCAAGAUGAGAUUUCCCAUUGCGCAAGCAAGUAAGACCCCUUAAAGACGAUAAGGUAGAUAGGUCAGGAGUGUAAGCAUGGUGACAUGUUAAGCGGACUGAUACUAAUAGGUCGAGGGCUUGACCGAAA
rnacentral:rRNA from 1 species